rnacentral:lncRNA from 1 species
ACCCUGGCCUCCGGCCUUCGUCCCACUGCCGGCCUGGCUCCGACCCCGCCAUCCCGACUCAUGAUGAGUAGGCCCACUGAACUCCAAGUGCGCGCCAGGCGUUCGACCGGAUACCCCGCUAAGGCCAUCGUGAGGAGGAUAGUGGUAUCAUCCUUUCCGACAGCGGAGGUGACAGACGACAUCCUGAUUUGGGGAUUGGGGUUAUGCCCGAACCGGAGAAGCAUUGCCGCCCCCAGCUGAGUGGCGGCGCUCGUCAAAGUUGGAUGGGCAGGGGGUGAGGCCUCGGGAGAUCUAGAUGGCGAAACAGGGGAUUGGCGAGGA